rnacentral:rRNA from 1 species
CCUACGGGCGGCAGCAGUGAGGAAUAUUGGUCAAUGGGCGCAAGCCUGAACCAGCCAAGUAGCGUGAAGGAUGACUGCCCUACGGGUUGUAAACUUCUUUUAUAAAGGAAUAAAGUGAGGCACGUGUGCCUUUUUGUAUGUACUUGAUGAAUAAUGAUCGGCUAACUCCGUGCCAGCAGCCGCGGUAAUACGGAGGAUACGAGCGUUAUCCGGAUUUAUUGGGUUUAAAGGGAGCGUAGAUGGGGUGUUAAGUCAGUUGUGAAAGUUUGGGGCUCAACCGUAAAAGUGCAAUUGAUACUGGCAGUCGUGAGUACAGUUGAGGUAGGCGGAAUGCGCGGUGUAGCGGUGAAAUGCUUAGAUAUCGCGAAGAACUCCGAUUGCGAAGGCAGCUUACUAGACUGCCACUGACGUUGAUGCACGAAAGUGUGGGUAUCAAACAGGAUUAGAUACCCCAGUAGUC